GACGUAGGGGGCCAGCGUUGUUCGGAAUUACUGGGUGUAAAGGGUUCGUAGGCGGUGCGGCAAGUCGGGAGUGAAAUCUCUGGGCUUAACCCAGAGGCUGCUUCCGAAACUGCUGUGCUUGAGCGUGGGAGAGGCGCGUGGAAUUGCAGGUGUAGCGGUGAAAUGCGUAGAUAUCUGCAGGAACACCCGUGGCGAAAGCGGCGCGCUGGACCACUACUGACGCUGAGGAACGAAAGCUAGGGGAGCAAACAGG
rnacentral:rRNA from 1 species